rnacentral:sRNA from 1 species
GAAGGACAGUGGUCUGAAUUUGACGGGGACAAAUGGAAGGGAGAUAGGACACAUGAGUCCCUUUAGGUCUGGCUCAGGGGAGCUAGACUUCAUUUCAAGGGGUCUAGGUUCUGGGCAGUUGAGAAGGAGGCUAUUUGGGGUCACCAAGGCUCCCCUUUCUUCCCAAAGCUCUAACACUGCCACCUUCUGCUGGCUAGGAGAGAGCUGUGUCUUCUGAGGCUAGAGCUGGAAUGCAGUGAGACCAGACUGCCUAGCAAUACCAAGAAGGAGGGUGACCUGAUAGCUGCUCAGGCUCGGCUGAAGGACCUGGAGGCUCUGCUGAACUCCAAGGAGGCCGCACUGAGCACUGCUCUCAGUGAGAAGCGCACGCUGGAGGGCGAGCUGCAUGAUCUGCGGGGCCAGGUGGCCAAGCUUGAGGCAGCCCUAGGUGAGGCCAAGAAGCAACUUCAGGAUGAGAUGCUGCGGCGGGUGGAUGCUGAGAACAGGCUGCAGACCAUGAAGGAGGAACUGGACUUCCAGAAGAACAUCUACAGUGAG